GCGGAAGACUGGCGGACGGGCUCCUCGCCAACCCGGUCAGGUCCGGAAGGAAGCAGCCGUAACGAGUUUUUGCGCGGGUCGUUUCAGUCUUCCACCUU
rnacentral:SRP_RNA from 1 species